AGGGGUGUAGCUCAGUGAUAGAGAACUCGCCUUGCAUGCAUAAGGUCCUGGGUUUGAUCCCCAGCACCACAG
rnacentral:tRNA from 1 species